GACGAACGCUGGCGGCGUGCUUAACACAUGCAAGUCGAACGGAAAGGCCCUGCGUUUGUGGGGUGCUCGAGUGGCGAAGGGGGGAGUAACACGUGAGUAACCUGCCCUUGACUUUGGGAUAACUUCAGGAAACUGGGGCUAAUACCGGAUAGGAGAUCCUGCUGCAUGGUGGGGGUUGGAAAGUUUCGGCGGUUGGGGAUGGACUAGCGGCUUAUCAGCUUGUUGGUGGGGUAGUGGCUUACCAAGGCUUUGACGGGUAGCCGGCCUGAGAGGGUGACCGGCCUCGUUGGGACUGAGGUACGGCCCAGACUCCUACGGGAGGCAGCAGUGGGGAAUAUUGCACAAUGGGCGGAAGCCUGAUGCAGCAACGCCGCGUGCGGAAUGCCGGCCUUCGGGUUGUAAACCGCUUUCGCCUGUGACGCAGCGUGAGUGACGGUAAUGGGUAAAGAAGCACCGGCUAACUACGUG
rnacentral:rRNA from 1 species